rnacentral:rRNA from 1 species
UACGUAGGGUGCAAGCGUUAAUCGGAAUUACUGGGCGUAAAGCGUGCGCAGGCGGUUUUGUAAGUCUGUCGUGAAAGCCCCGGGCUCAACCUGGGAAUUGCGAUGGAGACUGCAAGGCUUGAAUCUGGCAGAGGGGGGUAGAAUUCCACGUGUAGCAGUGAAAUGCGUAGAGAUGUGGAGGAACACCGAUGGCGAAGGCAGCCCCCUGGGUCAAGAUUGAC